rnacentral:rRNA from 1 species
GUUGACCUCGGAUCAGGUAGGAAGACCCGCUGAACUUAAGCAUA